UCCCUACUACGCCCGACUCACUGCCCUCGUUCGCGGCCGCCCUCCAUCCCUUCGCCGCUGCUGCUCCAUCCCUUCGCCGCCGCCGCUCCAUCCCUUCGCCGCCGCAACGUGCCGGAUCUUGCCUCAGCCGCCGCCUUUCUGCCGUGAAAGAGAGGGCUCCCGAUCUCCGCCGGAGUCGACCAACAGCGCGACGCGCCACCAGAUCGGAGACGCGCCGGGAUCGCCUCUCCGCCUCGGCGCUUGCGCUUCCAGAUCGAAGCCCACGACGGCGGUGUUCCCAGAUCGGUGACGCGCCACCGUACGUCACGGCUGACAGCCGUGUCCUCGUCAAGGAAGCUUCGAGGUGGCGGCAACCAAGGCCUCCCGGAUCCCCGCCUCCUUCCUCACAUCUCCGGCGGCGACAGCGACAAAUUCCGACACCAUGAGGCCACCGGCACGAGGAGGAUGCGGCGGGAGGGGUUUCGGCGGCAGGAGCGACGGCGGCGACCGCGGGGGCAGGGGCUUCGGCGGGAGAAGCGAUGGCGGUGGCCGCAGCGGCAGGGGUGGUCGGGGAGGCAGGACGCCCAGGGGCCGUGGUCGUGCCGGAUCUUGCCUUAGCCGUUGCCUCUCCGCCGUGAAAGAGAGGGCUCCCGAUCUCCGCCGGAGUCGACCAACAGCGCGACGCGCCACCAGAUCGGAGACGCGCCGGGAUCGCCUCUCCGCCUCGGCGCUUGCGCUUCCAGAUUGAAGCCCACGACGGCGGUGUUCCCAGAUCGGUGACGCGCCACCGUACGUCACGGCUGACAUCCGUGUCCUCGUCAAGGAAGCUUCGAGGUGGCGGCAACCAAGGCCUCCCGGAUCCCCGCCUCCUUCCUCACAUCUCCGGCGGCGACAGCGACAAAUUCCGACACCAUGAGGCCACCGGCACGAGGAGGAUGCGGCGGGAGGGGUUUCGGCGGCAGGAGCGACGGCGGCGACCGCGGGGGCAGGGGCUUCGGCGGGAGAAGCGAUGGCGGUGGCCGCAGCGGCAGGGGUGGCCGGGGAGGCAGGACGCCCAGGGGCCGUGGUCGUGGCAGCGGGGGAAGGGGAGGGUCCGACAUGAAGGGCGGGAGCAAGGUGAUCGUGGUGCCGCACAAGCACGACGGCGUCUUCAUCACCAAGGCCAAGGAGGACCCGCUCUGCACCAAGAACAUGGUCGCCGGGUAGUCCGUCUACGGCGAGAAGAGCAUCUCCGUCAGGUUUGAAGCUUAUCUUGCUGGGGGAUGUGAGAGAUUUUCUACACAAAAGGGCACCUAAAGAUGUUGAACUGAUCCGUACUGCAAGGCUCAUGCACGUUUUGGCUCAUCCAGAUAUCACAUGUGUUUCUUUCUCAGAUGCCAUUGUUCCAUUGAACUGAUUGUUUGCAGACUGAUUGUCUGCAAAUUCUGCAAAUUCUCACAUGUGUUGAACUGAUUGUUUGCAGACUAAAAAAUUGUUUUUAAAUUAUGUUCGUCAAGUGAUUCCAAUGUGCCAUGAUAAGAUGCGCAAUUCAACAUUUGAGGUUUCUUACUCAUAGGAUUAUCACAUCUUGAAUUCUGGUUCUUAGAGUUUUUGUUUCCAACCCUUAUUUGCUUGUCUUGUCUUUUGUUCUUACGGGUUUCAAUCUUCAUCACACAUCUUCUGUAGGAAAUCUUGUACUUAAAAUGUAGAAAAAUGUCCCAAACUUUCUUGUAAUGCUUGUAUGGCAGCCUAUUCUGUAAUCUGUUCAAUUACAGAGUUUAUGAUCAUGUGAAUGAAGCAGGGAUCUGAGAAAAAAAGGUAAUAGUACUUUACUUCCCAGGCAGAUUUGACAUAUCCUCGUUUACUUCCCUCUUCUCUUCUGACUAACUCCUUAACAGAAAUAAUUUUCUACCCAUGGUGGUAGCUAUGCAUGGCCCCGAGUUUUAUCUUUAAUUAUUUUGAUAAAUAAUUUUGGACUAUAAAAAAUAACUCUAUAAUGAAAAUAUCGUAACUUUGGACCAGCUGGGCAAGCAAACGGGCAAUUAUGCCAAAAAGGCAAACAAAAAGAUGGACAGAACUGAGAAAAGUCCCUUUCUACACAAAGAAAAGGCACUUGUGUUAAAAAGGUAAUAAAAAAGAGCAACAUAAGUGAGAAAAGGUCAUUUCUAUACAACAAAAAAUGCACUUGUGCCAAUGCCAUAAGAAACCCGACACCUCAUAUAUCAAAAAAGGCACUUAACAUGUGUGUACAGUUAUUCCUGCCCAUGUUUAUGUCAAGGAGCAUCACCGUAUGUGUUCAAGGAAUGCCAUUGAUUGUAUUAUCAUUAUUAUCUGUCACAAAUUUGGAUUCUGAAUUCUUUCAGAAUUCGAUUAUCUUGGAUUGAGACCUGCUGCACUGAGCGUAAGUAGAUUUAAGGAGAUCGAUAUUUAAAAUAGUUGGCUUCAUUAUGCAAUUGACUGAAAACAACUGUACUUUCACCUCGAGUUACUAAAAUGAUGCUCCUUCAUUAGAAUUCUAUCAUGUUAUCUCACCUUUUGGUCAGAAAAAUGAAAAAAAGUGCAUCUUCGGUAUUUAGUUUGACACAUAUAUGUUUUCUUUCCAGCUUCAUCAUGUGCUUCCGAAAUAGGUAUCUUCAACCUCAAUUUGAUCAUACACUUUUCUCCCUUAUUGUUAAAAUCAUCGCCACUAAUGUUUUCAGCUGUCGUCUUUCAAGUUGCAAAUUGUUGAUGAAUUCAAAUUGUAUGCAGCCCUGCCAUCUACAAUUUGGCAGUCAGAUGGUGAUCUGAAACUUAAAAUGGAGCAAAUGGCCAUGAGCUCUAAUAAAUAUGAGGUUUUCUAUCACAACAUACCUCAGCUGCAGCGAAAAGACAACAGAGCCAUGGGUGCCGAGGGCGGGCACUGGUGGUCGGCAGAAGGCGCUGUGGAGGUGCUCGCUGCUACCCGGCUCUACUUGCACGCCACCAGGUUCAGAAUUGGCAUGGACCUGGGCGCCGCCGCCUUUGCAGCUGCUCCCCGUGUACAUAAUUUAUUUUGUAGAGGAAGAACAUGGUAACUUAAACAAUAUUACAUGUGAUGCCAUGUCACUGAAGUGAAGCAUUCUUUUUGACUAGCAGUGAAUAGAGUUACAGUUAGUGAAUAGGGUUACAGUUUGUGAACUGAGAUGUUUGUGUAGUUGCUGCACUUUUAUAACUACUUCUGAUUAGUUGCGGAUGCAAUGAUGUUUAGCUGAUGUGGAAUAUUUUUGACUAGAAUCCUUGAUUGUGUAGUUGUUGCAUUUUUUAAAUUGAUUUAUUCAUGCUUCAUACACACUGGAGACAAUUUCAUCUAAGAAAAAUCAAGUUCUGAUUUGAAAAAUAAUAAUUAAGUUCUUGGCACAAUUAACAUUGGAUGACCUGCCUUGCUAUAUGUGUUAGUUAGGCUGGAUGGAGUAGGAUUAGUUAGUGGAUCAGACCCCGGGUUAUAUGUCCCCUUUUAUUGUGUACUAUAGUUUGAGAGUUUUCUCCAGAACUGAUGCUAUAACUUCAUAAACUACAGUUACAUGUAUAUCCGAGUCUGAAUCAGAUAAGUAAAAGUGCUCAUGUGUAUUUAUGUAUCAAGAUUCACAUUUCCUUUAAUAGUUACUGAAGUUUGUUUUAUGGUAGGAAAACACAUAUUCUAAAGCAGUAAAACGUUUCGAGUUCGAUGAUCAGCUUGGACAAUACAAUUUGGAUUCUUUUGGAGACUGGGAACAACUUUCAAGCUACUUGUGACAAAGUUUCAUUGAACGCCUUGUCACAAAGUUUCAUUCAAAAGGAGGGGUUGACACAUGGGAUCUCUUGCUUAUCUCAAGACUCAUAUGGUGCUUAUAUUACUGCGUCGUGCAUGGAUCAGAGGAUCUAUCUGUAUAGUACACCAUAAAUGGACAAGGGUCCAAUAAAGACUUGCACUGGCUGCAGAAUUGAGUCUUUCUUUGUCAAACAAGAUGAGUGGCCAACUGGUUUAGCCUACUCUUCCAGUUGUAUAUUCUUAGUUUCUUUCAUGUGUUUUAUUUAACACCUGCUUUGGUGCUUGAAUACAGUCUGCUAUUAGUCCUGAUGGGACUUAUAUUUUAGGUGGCUCGAGCGAUGGCAACGUGUUGCAUUCCUAUUACCUUUGCUUUUACAUUUCAUACACUCUAUUGAUGCUAAAUUGCUAAUUCCUUUUCACUUAUGUGGGUGGAUAACCUGAAAGUGGCCCUAUAGUUCUGAAAGGUCACGAGCCCACGAGUGUGAAGCCACUUCAGUUGACUUGUAUGAUCUGUCAUCAAGAAUGGUUACCUGUUGUCUUACUGUCACUAUAAUGCUCAAUGUUGCAAUGCGAAUUUCACAAUUUCAUGUGUGCUUUGGAGGUUGGAAAGAUAGUAUCAUCAUCUGAUGAUUCCACGGUUAGUCUUGUACUCUUGUUAACACAUCAGAACAUUCCUGCUUUUCACUUACAGUAGCAAAGUCCUGGUGCUGCAUGAACCGUUUAACAUUCAGGUUAGCAGGGAAAAAUCAGUGUGUGAGACCACAUGGCAGGUAAAUGACGAGGUAAAUAUUCAUCUUACAUGUACUAAACCAUCUUCACUGAUUGCAAACGUGUAAGCUUUACACUGAUAUUUUUAUACGUAAUGGGGAAAGUGGGAUCCGUUGUCUUCAGGUCAUUAAUUUGUACCUUGAAUUGUUAAAGGAGAGGGGAAUAAGAGAACCCAAAAGGUUCUUGAAAUGCAGUUUCUUCAAUACAUUUUUUUAAAAUUCAGUGUUUGAACCCAAAAGACGCCUUCCUCCUUUCCCUUGCCCUCUCUUCAAUUUUCGUAUCCCAACAAGAUGAGGUAAUUCACUACUAUACUAAGUACUGAAAGCUUAUGAUUUUGCUGUACAGGCUUAACCUGGUUCAUAUUAUGUGUAGGUUAUCCUUGGUACUAAUUCUCAUACCUGCAAUGCUUGAGCCUUUGGUCAAUUCAGAACUGGAAUAGGAAACACUGAUGUAGGUUUUGUGAUGGAAAUGGAAAGGCCCUUCCGAAGGUAUGCAAACAUGUAACAUUACGUGUGGAUAAAAUCAAAAAAUAAUAAAAUAAUGAAAAUGGAUAAAGAUAUAUCUUUCUCACUACAUGCGAACAAAUCUUAGUCCCCAUAUCAUGAAUGGAUAUUGUCCUUUCAUUCAAUUCAUGUUUUGGCAGGUUGAGAGAGACAUAAUGGUGCAUGCAUAAUUGAUGUUGGUAAUCUGUGUAGGAUCUAAAUUUGUAUUGUGUUAAUGAAUAAAUGCUGGAUUGACCUGCUUUGGUUCUAGCUAUGAUUGAUCAUUUUUAUUAGCUUGUUGGCUAUGUGAAGUAUUUCCAUAUUUAGGAAUAUUGUGAAUGGCAUGCUUGUAAAUAUGCUUUUUGAGAGACGUCAUGCUUUGAAACAUUAUAAAAAUCUUCUGCAAUUAUGACAGUUGUUGUUCAUACCAUUAUCUAAUGAGAUGAAGAUGUUGUUGUUCCUACUGGCUGGAGGGCAAGGGCGGUCGCGGCCUCGACAGGGUCGUUGCCACCGUCAUGGUGUUAUGUCUCAGUCGCGCUAGACAACACUAGCAGUAGUAACAGUGCCUAUCCUUUGUGCGUCAUGGAAUCCUGAUGCAAUCCAUUGGUUUUGGCCCCCUCUUUAAGGGGAUGAUAAGUCGUAAAAGUCAUUCGACAUGUAUAGCCUCGCUUCUGCCAUGCACAACAAUGGGCUCAUCAGGUCAUUGCUUGAACAGGUAGGUCACUCGUAUUCACCAUUGAUGGUUCUUGCACACUGCAGGCUUGAUGAAAUGCCAUAGUAUGCACGCAACAUCCUGUAUGUUUAAGCGUCUUUCUGUAAAUGUAUUAAUGCAUAAGAUUUGAUUAUUAGAUAAGUAGCUGAUGUCAGGCAUCUAUACAUGCGUAUGCAGUUAUGUACUUGCAGAUUAUUAUUAUUAUGCAAAAUUGUAUGUGCGGGCUUCAAGGCUCGAAAGUCAAAAUCAGCGUGAAAGAUGACGAAAUGCCUCUGUUCCUAUUACUUUAUGAUAACUUAAAUUGACAUGAGAGGUUAGUAUCUCGAUUACAGAGCAAUCAAAAUUUCAAAUUUUGUGCACAUGUCAUUUUAACACCACUAGGUUUCCAAAGCAGCUGCCUAUAGUUAGGUAAUAGGACAUUGGUUCUUUCAAUAAUUGAAGGUAUUACUUACUGAAUUUAAUAGCUCAUUUUAUGCUUAUUAUAACUACUGGAUGAUAAAAUGAUAUGCUGCUCAUGGCAGCUGUUUGUUUUAUUGGAAGUUGGAGCUUUUACUUAUGAUUUGAUCUAUUUAUCUACUUUUUAUUUGUGAAUAGUAGGACCGUUGAUGCAGUGGUAAAAUGCUCAGUAAAUACAGAAAUACUAAGAUAAUUUGUAACGAUGUGGAGAAGAUAAGUGCUACUUUUCUUCCAACAAAGUCUCAUGUUCUUAGUCUGCAUGGCAUGUAAUUUUCAUUUUUUUUUCCAAAUUUUUUGAUUAUUUUUGUCUCUUUAGUGUGAAAUGACUAACCAGUCAAAUAGUAGCACCAUUGAAAAAAGUCUUGUUGAAGUGCAAAACUACACUGCCGACCACCCAUCUCUGCAUGGUAGUACCAACGGUAGCAAAAUCACUACAUUGAUUACAUACUUGAUAGUGAGUUGCAAUCAUCGCUUGGCCUUAGUUGAGCCCGUAGUGUUUAGUUACUCCUACGGGUUCCACCGUGAGUACCUCGAGCAUGGAGUCGCGCCGCUGCGGGAGAUCAAUGGCUCCCCAUACUCCAAGAUGGUAAGCUACUCGCCUUUGCCCUUGUCAGGAGCAUCAACCGUUCUAAUGCCCUUAUUGUUAGUUUUGGCUCCAGCUGUUUGAGCGAUCCUUGCUUCCUUUAGUGUAUUGGUAUGUGUCCUAUUUUUUGUAAUUUUUGUGCCAAGUGUUCUGAUCUUUUAUGUGAUCCCAGAUGUGCUCUAUGUGGCGAGCUCAAAGAUACGGAGCAUAUUUUCUUUCAGUGCCCCUUGGCCAAAUUCGUGUGGUGUUGCAUCGGGUCUUGGCUCCACGUUUGUUGGAGUCCAUCUUCCUUUGCUGAUCUUAGGGUCUUGACCAAUGGCCUGUCUGGGAUCUCUAAGCGGAUUUUCUGGAUGGGGUUUGUGGCGAUCUGUUGGUCGUUGUGGACUACUAGAAACAAGUUUACUAUUGAACACUCCUUCCCGGCUAAACCUGUUGAUUGCUUAUUUAAAACUGGCAUAUUUUUGCAGCAGUGGAGAUCAUUGGCUAGGGACGCUGACCAUGAGGCCUUCGACAUGAUGACUUCCAAGAUUCGGCCUACUGCUACUUCAUUGGGACGCAGGCAAUCAGGAGUUUAACGGUUCCUGGAGGUUCCCUUGAUGAUUUCUUCUAGCUCUCUGGCCUGAGCGCCAUUUUUGGCUUGGGUGCCAUGUAUCUGAACUUCGUUUAUUUUGCCUAACCGAUAUGACGUGAUAGGAAAGAUCCUGAUGAAGUGCUUCCUUUCUGGAAUGCCUAUCUGAAGUUCGGACUAAAUGACAAGAUUUAAUUGGCUUAGUAAAAAAUACUUCCUAAAGAGAAAUAAGAUUCAAAGUAGAUGUUUUUAUUGUAGAUUAUGAUACCUGUGUUCCGCCACCGAUUCAACCUCUCAUAUUAGAAGGUAAGCCGUUAGUUCAUAUCUUACUACUUUGCACUAUUGUAGAGAGAUAGUGAGGGAUUGAGAGGCUACUACUAUUUGUAUUGAUGUCGAUGCUUGCACAAUGCUACUGCUUAUUAUACUGGGGUAUUCAUCUUUGGAAUAAAAAACAAUCAUUUUCUCCCUUCAAUCAAAUAGUCAUAACUUAGUUUUACUUACUAACCUCUCUUCAUAAUUAUUUUUGGAUUAAAUUCAGCUUUUUAUAAAGUUGCAAAGAACAGUUCUGACUUUUGUGGGUAGUCAACUAAAUUCUGGUUCUUGGUUGAAAGCCCCUUAUC